CCUACGGGAGGCAGCAGUGGGGAAUAUUGGGCAAUGGAGGAAACUCUGACCCAGCAACGCCGCGUGAAUGAUGCAGGUCUUCGGAUUGUACAGUUCUUUUCUAAGGGAAGAAGAAAGUGACGGUACCUUAGUAAUAAGCCUCGGCUAACUACGUGCCAGCAGCCGCGGGAAUACGUAGGAGGCAAGCGUUAUCCGGAAUGACUGGGCGUAAAGGGUGCGUAGGUGGUUUGACAAGUUAGUAGCGUAACUCCGGGGCUCAACCUCGGCACUACUACCAAAACUGUCGGACUUGAGUGCAGGAGGGGAAAAUGGAAUUCCUAGUGUAGCGGUGGAAUGCGUAGAUAUUAGGAGGAACACCAGUGGCGAAGGCGAUUUGCUGGACUGUAACUGACACUGAGGCACGAAAGCGUGGGGAGCAAACAGGAUUAGAUACCCUAGUAGUC
rnacentral:rRNA from 1 species